rnacentral:rRNA from 1 species
UACGGAGGAGGCAAGCGUUAUCUGGAAUUAUUGGGCGUAAAGCGUCCGCAGGUGGCUAUUCAAGUCUGCGGUCAAAGACUGGGGCUUAACCCUGGAAAGGCCGUGGAAACUGAAGAGCUAGAGUGCAGUAGGGGUAGAGGGAAUUCCCGGUGUAGCGGUGAAAUGCGUAGAGCUCGGGAAGAACAUCGGUGGCGAAAGCGCUCUGCUGGACUGCAACUGACACUCAGGGACGAAAGCUGGGGGAGCGAAUGGG